GCCGUAAACGAUGAGUGCUAGGUGUCGGGGGGGAACCCUCGGUGCCGCAGCUAACGCAAUAAGCACUCCACCUGGGGAGUACGAUCGCAAGAUUGAAACACUCCGGAAUUGACGGGGGCCCGCACAAGCGUGGAGCAUGUGGUUUAAUUCGAAGCAACGCGAAGAACCUUACCAAGGCUUGACAUCCCUCUGACCGGUGUAGAGAUACACCUUCAGCCUUGCGACCGUACUCCCCAGGCGGGAUACUUAACGCGUUCGUCAGCUCGUGUCGUGAGAUGUUGGGUUAAGUCCCGCAACGAGCGCAACCCCUAUUCUUAGUAGCCAUCAUUCAGUUGGGCACUCUAGGGAGACUGCCGUGGAUAACACGGAGGAAGGGUGGCCGCCUUCGCCACCGGUGUUCCUCCUGAUAUCUACCGGAUUUCACUCCUACACCAGGAAUUCCGCCACCCUCUCCAGGAUUCAAGCCCUGCAAAUCACAAAAACCCAGUCCCAGUUCGGAUUGUAGUCUGCAACUCGACUACAUGAAGCUGGAAUCGCUAGUAAUCGCGAAUCAGAAUGUCGCGGUGAAUACGUUCCCGGGCCUUGUACACACCGCC
rnacentral:rRNA from 1 species